AGCCCCGUGGUGUAGUGGUCAAUCAUACCGGGUUUUGGUCCCGGCGACCUCGGUUCGAAUCCGAGCGGGGCUA
rnacentral:tRNA from 3 species